UUAGCUCAUAUUUGUAUGGAAUGGGAUCGUUUGCGUACGUUUGCCGCUAGGGGCGCUGUUCCAACUGCAUACAAAAUUGGUUUA
rnacentral:pre_miRNA from 1 species